rnacentral:snoRNA from 2 species
GCUUUGCUGUGAUGAUCUGUGCAAGGACGGUAUAUGAGCGAGGUGGAUCUUGAAGGGCCAUUCCUUGCAUGAUUACAUCCAAAACUGAUAUUGUAAAUCUGAGCAAACU